GUGGGGAAUAUUCCGCAAUGGACGAAAGUCUGACGGAGCAACGCCGCGUGAGUGAUGAAGGUUUUCGGACUGUAAAGCUCUGUUGUUUAGGACGAAAGUGCCUGUUGCGAAUAGUUACAGGUAUUGACGGUACUGAACGAGGAAGCCACGGCUAACUACGUGCCAGCAGCCGCGGUAAUACGUAGGUGGCAAGCGUUGUCCGGAAUUAUUGGGCGUAAAGAGCAUGUAGGCGGGAAUCUAAGUCUGUUGUGAAAAUGCGGGGCUCAACCCCGUAUUGCGAUGGAAACUGGGUUUCUUGAGUGCAGGAGAGGAAAGGGGAAUUCCCAGUGUAGCGGUGAAAUGCGUAGAUAUUGGGAGGAACACCAGUGGCGAAGGCGACUUACUGGGCCGUAACUGACGCUGAGGCGCGAAAGCGUGGGGAGCGAACAGGAUUAGAUACCCUUGUAGUCC
rnacentral:rRNA from 1 species